rnacentral:rRNA from 1 species
CCUACGGGAGGCAGCAGUGGGGAAUAUUGCACAAUGGAGGAAACUCUGAUGCAGCGACGCCGCGUGAGGGAAGAAGGUCUUCGGAUUGUAAACCUCUGUUGUCAGGGACGAUGAUGACGGUACCUGACGAGGAAGCCACGGCUAACUACGUGCCAGCAGCCGCGGUAAAACGUAGGUGGCAAGCGUUGUCCGGAAUUACUGGGUGUAAAGGGAGCGCAGGCGGGAGAGCAAGUUGGGAGUGAAAUCUGUGGGCUCAACCCACAAAUUGCUUUCAAAACUGUUUUUCUUGAGUGGUGUAGAGGUAGGCGGAAUUCCCGGUGUAGCGGUGGAAUGCGUAGAUAUCGGGAGGAACACCAGUGGCGAAGGCGGCCUACUGGGCACUAACUGACGCUGAGGCUCGAAAGCAUGGGUAGCAAACAGGAUU